UUCACUCCUUACCAAAUUUCAGCUUAUUCCAUAACCUCUCCUCAUAAUAUAAAGCCCCUUCUUGUACAAUAUACACCAAUCGGCCACCACCCUCACAUGGAUUAUACCUCCUGAUAAUGGAACACCUUUUCACUUAACCGAAGCUCGCCGAAAAGAUCGAGACGCGCCGGAGUCGAAGAAGAUCGGAGUUCGCCGGAGACGCCCGAACUCGCGAUGAAAUCGUUUUAACGUCCGGAUAAUCGCUCUGUUCGUUCUUUUGGAUUUUCCAAUCCUUCUCUCGCGCGUUAUUUCAAGGAAUCUCUAAACGCAACCAAAGUUGACGAUUUUAAUAAAGAUGCCCGGAAUCUAGUAGGAUCUUUUUGGGUUUUAUUUUUAUUUAUUUACAAUCCUAUUCGUUAUGAUUUAUUUAGAACGUUUCAUAGGAUAAA